rnacentral:lncRNA from 1 species
UUUUAUGUAACGUGAUAAACUGUGUGCAAAUUUCACUCCUUGUAAACUUAGACACUGAGAAUGGAUGCACAUUGCAGCGCGGUGCACUGUGGAGGACGGAGGACAUCGCGCCGGAAAGAACGCACCUUAUGAAUGAUCCCGCAUUUCCGGCGCCCUGCAAAGGCUUGCCGGGAAAGGGGAAACAUACUGGCUUUAAUACGACGCGUGUUCCGUAGCUUCAAUUGAGUUGCAUAUUGAUGUGGGGGCUUUUCCUACAUCCUAAUGGAACAUAAAGCUCUAGCCACAUCUUUGCAUCCUUGUAAGCUGGACCCUCCUGCCUGACACAAUGUUAUUCGUGCAAACUGUGGGGGCGUAUGCGUUGUACUCUCAACCGCGGACGAUACCUCGCAGUAACGACGUGCCGAUAAGCGGUCUUGUGCCAGGCAUCGCCACUGUUCAAUGAAGUUGACACGUUUCCAGGAUUGACACGACAUGCGAAAACCCUAAGCGCCCAGUCAUCAGCACGCAGGUAGGGAUCCACCCCCCUGGCGAUGAGGAUAACGUCCACGGGCGCCACAGAGCGGUACAAUUAGACCCGGGCUCUCGUUUCCCCAAUUGCAAACCGCACCGCAUCACUCUGUCCUGACACAUUCGAUGCUCUAUUAAGGAGACCCACCAUCAGUCCGCAUGCUAAAAAGUUGCUUUCCGCUGCGUGCAUGUUGGCACGUGGCGUCCUUAUCUGCUGGCCAACCACAGCAGCUUGCCAGGGGCUUCCGGUCCUGGUUCUAACUUCUAACCAAGUGGUCUGAGUGGAUAUGUGGCGAGUCAGACAGCGGUAGCUGCUAGGUAGGCCGGGUUGCUGUUACAAUUACUGGUUUCACGAGGUAUCACGAGCCGCUUGCUAUCCUGGAUAUGAAGUUCAACAACUCCGAAGACUGUCCUCUUAGGGAUAUCGAGCACGGGGCCUUUGCCCCCAGUUUCCGCCCGCUGUUUGCACCAUUGCUGCCGUGCGCCGCCGCUUUGGAGACGCUCCCCUUGUGUGCCCGGAUAUAAUACUAAAUGGAGGAAGUGGCAAAAUUAAGGUCGCGGGGUCCUAGAUGCAAGCGGGCUGUGAGGGAGCCGCUGUGGUCAGGCGGCCGCGAGGAACGCUGCACUGAGCACAGAUGACCGGAUGGGAGGACAGAUGGGGGAGACGGCAAGUCCCAGGCAGGGCGGAACAAAUUAUAGGCAGGUGUCUCGAUACAAGACGGCCUUGCUGCAUCUAUGCCGGGCCACUGAAGUGCGCUCUAAUCCAUGUGCCGGCUCUGCAGUAUGGAUUCACCGGCCACAUGUACGGAGGUAGAAGGAUGCCAUCGCAACCUUCGCUGGCAUAGUGCUAGCGGACACGGGCGCCAUUACAGUCCACGGCAAGUAUUGCUACCGCAACACAGCACGGCCGUUCACAUCCUCGCCGUUAAGGCUAGGAGGGCUUGUUCAACCAGCUCAAAACUCAAGUUUCGGAAGGUAGCUUCGGCACAAAUUCAGGACGGAAUGAGGUGAUGUAACGUGCAAGUUAGGCUUCCAGAGGGAGCUCCAUGUUCCUCUCUGCUGCUCCGAGCGAUGCCCUAUGAGCCCUCAUGCGCCCGACGAUACCCUUUUAACACCUCAGUGGCCCGUUCCAGAUCCUAAGCUUACACCAGCAGUCCAGCUCAACUGUGGUUACAAAUGUGGUUAUAGGGGCACUGCUCGCACUCGAUUUAUCUACCCGCUCGCUGCCGAUGCUCGCCGUACAGCUAUGGUUAGGAGAUGGUGUCAAACUCAUUACCGAGAUGAGUCAAUUAAUCAAAAAG